rnacentral:SRP_RNA from 1 species
CAGCUGGCCAUGCAGGAGGCGGAGCGCACACAGGUGGAGGAGGCCGCGCCAUUUCCGAAUCCGCGAACCCCCGAGUUCGGGGAGGCAGCAACUUCACCGCGGUCUCCCGUCGCUUCCGGUGGUGCCGAAGAGAGGCGGAGAAAGAGC